CCUACGGGAGGCAGCAGUAGGGAAUAUUGGGCAAUGGAGGCAACUCUGACCCAGCCAUGCCGCGUGCAGGAUGAAGGCGUUAUGCGUUGUAAACUGCUUUUAUAUAGGAAGAAAUAGACCUUGCGAGGUAAGUUGACGGUACUAUAUGAAUAAGCACCGGCUAACUCCGUGCCAGCAGCCGCGGUAAUACGGAGGGUGCAAGCGUUGUCCGGAUUUAUUGGGUUUAAAGGGUGCGUAGGCGGUUUAUUAAGUCAGUGGUGAAAGACGGUCGCUCAACGAUUACAGUGCCAUUGAUACUGGUAGACUUGAGUAUGAUUGAGGUAGCUGGAAUGGAUAGUGUAGCGGUGAAAUGCAUAGAUAUUAUCCAGAACACCAAUUGCGUAGGCAAGUUACUAAGUCAUAACUGACGCUGAGGCACGAAAGUGUAGGGUAUCAAACAGGAUUAGAUACCCUGGUAGUCCACACUGUAAACGAUAGAUAACUAACUGUUAGGCUUUCGGGUCUAGUGGUACAGAGAAAUCGUUAAGUUAUCCACCUGGGGAUACGCCGGCAACGGUGAAACUUAAAGNGAAAUUGAACGGUGUGAGACGAGACGACGACGACGACGAGGGAGGAGG
rnacentral:rRNA from 1 species